AAACCGUGGUGAGGGCAAUCUCUCUAAUAACCCUUGAAUCGCUCCCAUGAAGCCUUGAAUUCUUCGGUUGGACCCUGAACGAAUGAAGAGAUCCUGACUUUCAAUUCU
rfam:Arabis alpina cultivar Pajares Aa.chr2_contig_1874, whole genome shotgun sequence.